CUGUGGGAUGUUGUUCCCAAGGUGCGGAUCUCGCGCCUGCACAUCGUCAGCCAGGACCUCACUUGGCCGCAGUUGAACGCUGCUAUUGUUUCGCUGCUGACGCUGUUUUUCUGCCUAUACCUGGAAAUUCGGAAGCGAAAAAUACACAAGGAAUGUGAGCUGUUACAUAGCACUAUAUCCAUAUUAUUUCAAGUUCAUCGUCAGCCUAGUGCAGUCAGCAAGUCAACGAAAUAAUAUCAGUAGGUUAGACGACAUGGUAGAAAAGGUCCUGUCGGUGAGCCAAGCCACGGACGUCACUAUGGAAGUGGAGCGCGAGCGGCAAGCUGCAGCGGUUCGGGUGUGUGUCGAACUCUUAGAUGCGUCCGCGGAACAUUA
rnacentral:misc_RNA from 1 species